CUGUGAGCAUUCUUAGAGUCAUGAAUCAUGACGACAAAUUUAAUUCUGAGAUCAACAUCAUAAAGUAUCCAGUGACAGCGAUAAGAAGUAGUCUUUUAUAAGUCGGUAAAUGUAAAUAAAAAUUGACUAGGAAGUCAUUUUCAAUCAAAAAGCAGCUCACAAGAUGACUACACAUAUGUAUGUAUGUAUAUAUGUAAGAAGAAAGUGUGACAGAAUAAGGACCAUGUAGGUGAGGGAUAAGAUGAAAUGAGCAGAAGCAGGCAGAAUACAUAGAUGAGCGAACGGAACAUCAAUCUCUUUAUAACCUCUUCUGUCUAUACUUCAAGAAUGGAUAUCCUACAAGCCGACUUCGUAGAGUCUCCCUUGAAAGUGGACCUCGUGAUCUAGCCUUUAUGUCCGUGGAUAGACACUGUUGUAUAUAUACACUUCCUCGGUUUCGAGAUUCCUGCUCUGGUGGUUGUAGUCAUAAGAUAUACAUAGUUGUGUAGUCAUUGCUCACAUCUUGGUUGUGGGCACACACACUAGUGUUGAAUUACCACCUUGUCCAAGUGGAUGGAUGCCCUCAAUGGGAUUGGCACAUUCUCCAUUGCUCC
rnacentral:lncRNA from 1 species